rnacentral:rRNA from 1 species
UACGUAGGGGGCAAGCGUUAUCCGGAUUUACUGGGUGUAAAGGGAGCGCAGACGGCAGUGCAAGUCUGGAGUGAAAGCCCGGGGCCCAACCCCGGAACUGCUCUGGAAACUGUGCGGCUAGAGUACUGGAGGGGCAGGCGGAAUUCCUAGUGUAGCGGUGAAAUGCGUAGAUAUUAGGAGGAACACCAGUGGCGAAGGCGGCCUGCUGGACAGUAACUGACGUUGAGGCUCGAAAACGUGGGGAGCAAACAGG